CCUGGCCAGCCGUCCACCACCACCUUCACCCGGCAGCCAUCCACCACCACCUUCACCCGGCAGCCGCUGCAGCGGAACAAUGGGAGGAUCACAGGCUACGUGAUAUUCCUCACCACGGACCAAACUGUCGGUGACUGGGUGAUGGGGGAAGUGACGGGGGACUGGCUCACCCUCACCGUCCAUGGACUGACGCCUUCAAGGAAGUAUUUGCACAAGAUGCACUCUCACAAUGUCAAAGGUUUUGGUCCAUUCUCCUCCGUGGAAAGCUUCACGACUUCCAGCUGUUGACAAGAGCAUCGGUGAGCCCCUGGCUGGUGUGUGGAGCGAGAGGCCUGAUUGUGCUGGUGAUCGCUGGCGUGGCAGGAGCCAUGACCAGCUGGGGGCCUUCUUGGCCACCACACUGUACUGCCGCGGGUCAAGGCGGAGCCCAGGCCAAGCAUUGUUGUUGGCGGCAGCUGCAGUGAGAGCAACAAGCCUGGCGUCCAGCCUCCAGACCUGUGGAUCCAUCACGGCCACUUGGAGCUGAAGAACUUUGACAAGGGUGAGCGCAGCAACUCCCCCAACCACGCCUCCAUCAUCCAGCACACAGCUGAAGAUCAACAACAAGGAGAUGACGGCGCUAGACCAGAUGCUUGGGGCACUCCUGGAGGCUCUGCAGGACAAGGCCAAGGAAACAAAGAGUGGCCAGGCUGUGGGACCGAGGCACAGAGAGCCAAGACGGCCGAGGGUUUAUCAAGACUGACAACAACGUGACGGUCAAAGUGUUAGAGGUAAGAAUCUUACGUGAUGAAACAUUGUGGAAGCCUUGCCAGAGUAUAUGGUCCCACAACAUGUCCUGUAGCUUCUGAAUGAGUGCCUUCAAGCUCUGGUGCUGCUUCCCUUCCUUUGUUAUGAGUGUUUCCAUACUUACUGCUCAAG